CAUGCCUUACACAUGCAAGUCGAACGGCAGCACGGGUGCUUGCACCUGGUGGCGAGUGGCGGACGGGUGAGUAACGCGUAGGAAGCUGCCCGAUAGAGGGGGAUACCAGUUGGAAACGACUGUUAAUACCGAAUAAUGUCUACGGACCAAAGUGUGGGACCUUCGGGCUACAUGCUAUCGGAUGCGCCUACGUGGGAUUAGGUAGUUGGUGAGGUAAUGGCUCACCAAGGCGACGAUCUCUAGCUGGUUUGAGAGGAUGAUCAGCCACACUGGAACUGAGACACGGUCCAGACUCCUACGGGAGGCAGCAGUGGGAAUAUUGGACAAUGGGCGCAAGCCUGAUCCAGCCAUGCCGCGUGUGUGAAGAAGGCCUUCGGGUUGUAAAGCACUUUCAGCGAGGAGGAAGGGUGGUGUGUUAAUAGCACAUCAUUUUGACGUUACUCGCAGAAGAAGCACCGGCUAACUCUGUGCCAGCCGCCGCCGUAA
rnacentral:rRNA from 1 species